rnacentral:rRNA from 1 species
UACGAGGGGGGCGAGCGUUGUUCGGAAUUAUUGGGCGUAAAGGGUGCGUAGGCGGUUUGGUAAGUCUUGUGUGAAAUCUACAGGCUCAACUUGUAGUCUGCACGAGAAACUGCCGGGCUUGAGUAUGGGAGAGGUGAGUGGAAUUCCUGGUGUAGCGGUGAAAUGCGUAGAUAUCAGGAGGAACACCUGUGGCGAAAGCGGCUCACUGGACCAUAACUGACGCUGAUGCACGAAAGCUAGGGGAGCAAAC